UACGAAGGGGGCUAGCGUUGCUCGGAAUCACUGGGCGUAAAGGGUGCGUAGGCGGGUUCUUAAGUCAGAGGUGAAAUCCUGGAGCUCAACUCCAGAACUGCCUUUGAUACUGAGAGUCUUGAGUUCGGGAGAGGUGAGUGGAACUGCGAGUGUAGAGGUGAAAUUCGCAGAUAUUCGCAAGAACACCAGUGGCGAAGGCGGCUCACUGGCCCGAUACUGACGCUGAAGCACGAAAGCGUGGGGAGCAAACAGG
rnacentral:rRNA from 1 species